rnacentral:rRNA from 1 species
GAUGAACGCUGGCGGCGUGCUUAACACAUGCAAGUCGAACGAUGAAGCCCAGCUUGCUGGGUGGAUUAGUGGCGAACGGGUGAGUAACACGUGAGUAACCUGCCCUUAACUCUGGGAUAAGCCUGGGAAACUGGGUCUAAUACCGGAUAGGAGCGUCCACCGCAUGGUGGGUGUUGGAAAGAUUUAUCGGUUUUGGAUGGACUCGCGGCCUAUCAGCUUGUUGGUGAGGUAAUGGCUCACCAAGGCGACGACGGGUAGCCGGCCUGAGAGGGUGACCGGCCACAAUGGGACUGAGACACGGACCAGACUCCUACGGGACGCAGCAGGGGGGAAUAUUGCACAAUGGGCGCAAGCCUGAUGCAGCGACGCCGCGUGCGGGAUGACGGCCUUCGGGUUGUAAACCUCUUUCUGAGGGGAAGAAGCGAAAGUGACGGUACCUGCUGAAGAAGCACCGGCUAACUACGUG